rnacentral:tRNA from 1 species
UCUAAUAUGGCAGAUUAGUGCAAUAGAUUUAAGCUCUAUACAUAAAUAAUAAAGUUUUAUUAGAA